GUUGAUAAAUCUGCUGCAGAGGGGGAGAACCAAGCUGACCUGCGAUCGACAGAAGGUCGCUAUGUGUCCUCUGAAACACUACCGGCUGUGAACUUGGGAAGUGAUGAUCCUUCCUCUCAAGGACGCACAGAACAGAGUAGUGUAAACCAGCCGUCACAGAGCAU